AGAAGUGUUGCCGCUACUUAUUUAGUUUUGCAUUCUUUUUCCUCAUUCAUUGCACAGGAAGAUAAUGGUGAAACAGAAGUUAGCAAGAUGAAAAGGCGAGGAUUUGUGAAAUGCAAAAAUUGAAGAAGCAGAAGAUUCAGGAAAUAUCGGAUCAGCAAAAUGCCGCUAUGGACACUGAUAUGGUGCCUUUCCAUUCUAAAAAUGACUAUUCUUGCAUUAUUUCGAGUUCAUGUAUUGAUUAUGCCAGUAACAUUUUCUUCUUUUUGAAAUAAUUUUUCAAGAAUGAUAAGGGAAAAGGGCGGUUGAAGUAUCUUCUGCAGCAAACUGAGGUUUUUGCUCAUUUUGCCAGAGGAAACCAGUCUGCUUCACAGAAAAUCAAAGGAAGGGGUCGUCAUGAAUGUCUUAAGGAGGAAGAAGAUGGCUUGUCUGGUACAGGAAACACGCGGCUGCUGACACAACCUUCUUGUAUACAAGGGAAGAUGAGGGAUUACUAGCUUGCUGGAUUGAAUUGGCUCAUAAGAUUGUAUGAGAAUGGCAUUAACGGAAUACUUGCAGAUGAAAUGGUAGGUCACGGGCUGCAGCAUUUAGACGUGUGCAGUAUGGAAGCUGGAAAGGCAAGAUGCAGAG